UAACACAGUGACAACUAAACAGAGAUCCAACAUGUUGGUUGUGGUUAACACAGUGACAACUAAACAGAGAUCCAACAUGUUGGUUGUGGUUAACACAGUGACAACUAAACAGAGAUCCAACAUGUUGGUUGUGGUUAGUAAUUCUUGAAUGUCAAUUGUUCUCAUUUAUUCAUUAACUCUUUGAGAAAUAAAACAUUUACUAACAGACAGAGAAACAGUCAGAUGAACAAGUAGUGACAUUUAAUCUCCAUGGUAACUGUCUGUAAUAAUAAUAAGUCACUGUUUGUUAAGGUAGUUCUAGACAGUACAGCAACAAUAAUAACAAUAAUAAUAAUAAUAAGUCACUGUUUGUUAAGGUAGUUAUAGACAGUACAGCAACAACAAUAAUAAUAAUAAUAAUAAGUCACUGUUUGUUAAGGUAGUUAUAGACAGUACAGCAACAACAAUAAU
ensembl:lncRNA